AGUUAGUCCACUGUAGGGGUAGGAUGCGUAUCAAGAUAGGAUCUAUCGAUCUUAAUAAAGAAGACUAGUCCUAUGAAAUUUGAGAGGCUAAGUUUAAGAGUCUAUGGCCAUAGCAGUAUAAUUGAUAAAAAAGAGUUUUCAUAAAAAUCACAACUGAACUUGAGCUAAUCGAAUCUAUCAUAUGAGUGAUGAUGAGGUUUGACGAUUUAUCUAUGACCUACCAUCUAGUUGGGACUCACGAUAGAGAGUGAAUCACACGUUAACUAUAUCUAGAGGUUCAUUUCAAUUCUACUGGAUUGCCACUACAUACUGCUAGGUAUCACUGAUGGAUUGUGAGAGCUCACUAGGAUUGUUCUGGAUCGACAAUCCUUGUUGAGUUAGAAUGAAAUUGUUCUGACCCAUUGAAAAG
rnacentral:lncRNA from 1 species